CGGGAUAGCUCAGCUGGUAGAGCAGAGACUGAA
rnacentral:tRNA from 2 species